rnacentral:rRNA from 1 species
CGAAUGCUGACAUAAGUAACGAUAAAGCGGGUGAAAAGCCCGCUCGCCGGAAGACCAAGGGUUCCUGUCCAACGUUAAUCGGGGCAGGGUGAGUCGACCCCUAAGGCGAGGCCGAAAGGCGUAGUCGAUGGGAAACAGGUUAAUAUUCCUGUACUUGGUGUUACUGCGAAGGGGGGACGGAGAAGGCUAUGUUGGCCGGGCGACGGUUGUCCCGGUUUAAGCGUGUAGGCUGGUUUUCCAGGCAAAUCCGGAAAAUCAAGGCUGAGGCGUGAUGACGAGGCACUACGGUGCUGAAGCAACAAAUGCCCUGCUUCCAGGAAAAGCCUCUAAGCAUCAGGUAACAUCAAAUCGUACCCCAAACCGACACAGGUGGUCAGGUAGAGAAUACCAAGGCGCUUGAGAGAACUCGGGUGAAGGAACUAGGCAAAAUGGUGCCGUAACUUCGGGAGAAGGCACGCUGAUAUGUAGGUGAAGUCCCUCGCGGAUGGAGCUGAAAUCAGUCGAAGAUACCAGCUGGCUGCAACUGUUUAUUAAAAACACAGCACUGUGCAAACACGAAAGUGGACGUAUACGGUGUGACGCCUGCCCGGUGCCGGAAGGUUAAUUGAUGGGGUCAGCGCAAGCGAAGCUCUUGAUCGAAGCCCCGGUAAACGGCGGCCGUAACUAUAACGGUCCUAAGGUAGCGAAAUUCCUUGUCGGGUAAGUUCCGACCUGCACGAAUGGCGUAAUGAUGGCCAGGCUGUCUCCACCCGAGACUCAGUGAAAUUGAACUCGCUGUGAAGAUGCAGUGUACCCGCGGCAAGACGGAAAGACCCCGUGAACCUUUACUAUAGCUUGACACUGAACAUUGAGCCUUGAUGUGUAGGAUAGGUGGGAGGCUUGGAAGUGUGGACGCCAGUCUGCAUGGAGCCGACCUUGAAAUACCACCCUUUAAUGUUUGAUGUUCUAACGUUGACCCGUGAUCCGGGUUGCGGACAGUGUCUGGUGGGUAGUUUGACUGGGGCGGUCUCCUCCUAAAGAGUAACGGAGGAGCACGAAGGUUGGCUAAUCCUGGUCGGACAUCAGGAGGUUAGUGCAAUGGCAUAAGCCAGCUUGACUGCGAGCGUGACGGCGCGAGCAGGUGCGAAAGCAGGUCAUAGUGAUCCGGUGGUUCUGAAUGGAAGGGCCAUCGCUCAACGGAUAAAAGGUACUCCGGGGAUAACAGGCUGAUACCGCCCAAGAGUUCAUAUCGACGGCGGUGUUUGGCACCUCGAUGUCGGCUCAUCACAUCCUGGGGCUGAAGUAGGUCCCAAGGGUAUGGCUGUUCGCCAUUUAAAGUGGUACGCGAGCUGGGUUUAGAACGUCGUGAGACAGUUCGGUCCCUAUCUGCCGUGGGCGCUGGAGAACUGAGGGGGGCUGCUCCUAGUACGAGAGGACCGGAGUGGACGCAUCACUGGUGUUCGGGUUGUCAUGCCAAUGGCACUGCCCGGUAGCUAAAUGCGGAAGAGAUAAGUGCUGAAAGCAUCUAAGCACGAAACUUGCCCCGAGAUGAGUUCUCCCUGACUCCUUGAGAGUCCUGAAGGAACGUUGAAGACGACGACGUUGAUAGGCCGGGUGUGUAAGCGCAGCGAUGCGUUGAGCUAACCGGUACUAAUGAACCGUGAGGCUUAACCUUACAACGCCGAAGGUGUUU